ACAAUUUGCCAGGUAACAGGUCCAGACACCAAAAGAAGCUUAAGACUAGAAGAAAACACUUGAGGCUCAAUGGCCAGUGUUGGGAGCCUGAAGUUCAUGGGAGUCACUAAAGAGCAUGGCAAAUGCUGAGUGUGCCGAACACAGAUGAGCCCCAGGGAAGAAAAGAACUACAGAGGUAGGUCACAAUUCUUUAUCAACUUCAUCUUACCCGUCAAGUUCUCAAAAGAACUUCUGUCAGUGUUUUGUUUUUUGGAAAAGGAACUAAUGUAAAGAUGUGAGGUGGAACUAUCCCUGAGCCCUAAGACGUCAAGUGCAAGGACCCCUCACAGGACAACUGACUCUAUCUGGAGAUCUGACUCCAGUGUUUGUAAAGCUUGGUGUGGGUUUCUAGGAGAACUCUGAAUCAGCAGAUUUCCAGGUAAGAAAUUACUAUAAAAUUAACAUAAUCAAAGGAAUUAUACAGAGCUGUAUCAAAAGGGAAGUAGGAUUUGGAAUUGCUCAAGUGAUACUGGGCUGAGGGAAAAAAGUUACCCAUCCCCCGGACACUCAUUCCAAAGGGUAAGACCUAUUUGCUAAGGGAACAGCGUCAGCAUGAUAUGGCAGUGUUUACUGGGAGGUCAGUCUCAAAGCGUGAAAUGGAUCAACAUAAGAGUAGGCUUAGAAUGCUCCUACUGUGUCCUUUCCUUCACUACUGCCUAAGUGCCAUGCGUGGCAAUGACACACCUUGGUGGGAUCAGGUUCCAAACUAAUGGACCAUCUGUACUUGGAUCAUGAACUUCAGAUGCACCUCUUCAUAGAUUGGAUAUUCCAGCUGUUAAUUAGUAGAAUGAGGACUCCAUGGGAGAAGACCUUUAAUGCAAAGUGGGGGAAAUAAAAAUUGUUUUUGUAUCAAUAGCAGAAAUUUGCUUGCUUACCUAGAAUGUAGAUUUACUAGAUGUGUGACUUCCUUGGAAUUUUCAUGAUAUGUUUUAAAAUAAUUCAAAAUUCGACACCACAGAAAAAGGCACAAUGGCAGGAAUGCAGGCCUGUCUACAAGAGCUCUGUUUUCUGCCCCGAAUCUGCCAUAAACAGAAACCAUCCAAAGCCUCGCUUAGGCAGAGCUAGGCAUAUGUAAGGCUAGGAAGGCUCAUAACAGAUGACUGGACAUAACUGACUUGCUUAUUGCAAUUUAGGUGCUGAAGUUACCAUUGGCCAAGAGCAAGUUUCCCCAAGAGGAUUUAACUAACAGGGGGAUGUGAUCAGUGGUUCCCAUAGAAACCAGAUGAAGUCUUACAGGUGGUGUGCACUGUUCACCCUGGGGCUGUCCAUUACCAGGUUUCAAGAACACCCAACUGAGAUGAUGAGGGCUGGACACCAGCGAGGAGGUUGGGCUGACACUCUCUAGAAGAUGGUGCCGCCGCGAGGUCUAUCCUUCCUUCAGUGGCAUGAGUCUCUAGGCAGGCUGGCACAGAACUGCCAUGUGGGCCUUGCCCCUCCCUCCCUCUGGGUCCCAGCAUUACACCAACAUAUGCAGGCCAGUUUGAAGGAAAUGGGUAACUGAAAGCAGGAAUGCAAGAAUUCAUCUUUAAAUGUUUUAGCUCCAAGGUCUGUGACUACCAGUAAACCAUACUGAGCAAAUCUUAUUUUUAUUGGUGUUUUAAUAAUACUCUCAGUCAAAAAAAUAUUUGAAAUGCCUACUGGACAAAGUGAAUUCCUGCCUCUUUUACCCUGAAACCCUCUACCAUAUUCUAGAAAUCUCCUUUGAUGCCUACUACUGGUUCUCAGGUACUGUGGCAUUUGUGAAUCUUCUAGCAUCCUGCUCACUCUGAUCUGCCGUUUGCUGCCUCUUCUGUAUGACGGUCCUGAGAUGGAAUAUGCUUCAGGCCUGCAGGGACCUGGGCUGAGGCAGCAUUUGGCAGCACUCCUCUAUGGAUCCUGUAUUUCUGGGUUACAGAAUAGGAUUGCUCCUGCUUUUUUGACAGUAGCACAACAUUUAUUGUUAUUGUUGUAUGAAAAUCUAAGUUGUUUUCAUUUGUAUGGCACUUUAGGCAUAUUUCUCCUACUCUUAGCCUUCUUAAAAAUGUAUGUUUUCUUUCAUGCCUAUAUAUUAUUUAUGUGAAUAGACACAAUUACUUUGCUUGAAGGCUGAAACUCCCAUC